CUUCAGACAAAAGUGAAGCAAAUUAAAGUCCAUCCCGCCAUCCUUCCAAAGAGCAAAGAAAGUCCAUGGAAAUUCAUCAACAUCCAGAGAUGGGGUCUUACUACAUUGCCCAGUCUGGUCUUGAACUCCUGGCCUCAAGCAGUCCUCCUGCCUUGGCCUCCCAAAGUGCUGAGAUUACAUACAUUGGUCAAAGGAUCUUUCUUAAAAGGAUGCUCAGGAGCUUCCAGGUUCAACAGAUGCGUGAGAUCCAUAGCAGAAACAUUGCUGUCCUCUUCAGAUUCAAGUACGGGUGAAAGUCAAGCUCUGGGAUACUGGAGCAGGGCUAUAUAAUUCUCUUUCCCUUGUAAUUUCAUUAAAAAAGAUUAAGGAAACCCUUGAAAAGUUGUAGAUACCUAAAAUUUUGGCCGUGCAUUGAUCAUCCACAAAAAGUGAAAGAUCACAAGUGAUCAAGCCACAUGUGUGAAAAAUCUCAAAUACACUUUGGGAGGCCGAGGCGGGCCGAUCAUAAGGUCAGGAGAUCGACACCAUCCUGGCUAACAGGGUGAAACCCCGUCUCUACUAAAAAUACAAAAAAUUAGCUGGGCAUGGUGGUGGGCACCUGUAGUCCCAGCUACUGGGAAGACUGAGGCAGAAGAAUGGCGUGAACCCGGGAGGCGAAGCUUGCAGUGAGCCGAGAUCGCACCACUGCACUCUAGCCUGGGCAACAGAGCGAGACUCCAUCUCAAAAAAAAAAAAAAAAAAAAAAAGAAAGAAAACUCUCAAAUAACUCUUGAUUCAAAUAGUCAACAUAACUCCUGGAGGAAAAAAAAAAGCAUUUCUACAUUGAGAGAGACAUUGCUAUAGUCCCC
rnacentral:lncRNA from 10 species